UUCUGUUGUAUCUUUGCACUUGUUUGUUUACAAUGCGUUGUGUUAUAAGGUAUGUGAGUGUCCGAGUGUACAGAUGUAUGUAUUAACCCGUCCGCUGCGAUUGGCACAGAUUUCGCCUUCACUGGUAGCCUGGUAACAUACACUCCCAGGUCUUUCUCUGCCUCUGUGGUGGAUAGUGCAGUGUUUCCCAUGUGGUAUUGGUAUGCUGGGUAUCCCCUCCCAAGGUGCAUGACUUUACAUUUUCCUUCAGUGAAUUGUAGCAGCCACUUUUUGUUCCAUUCCUGUAACUUGGUGAUGUAUUCUUGUGGGAAAUCCACAGUCACGGGGUUGAUGAACAGAUGAAACUAAUACAUUUUCUUGAAACUGAACCACCAACUUAAUGGGCAAAUAAAACUUAAAUAUUCUCGAGACUAAACCACUAAAAUUUUACGGGCAGAGAAUACAAUAAUAAAUUCCCGGGGCCUGUCUGUAGCAUCACUGCACUUGUUAGUUUAUGAUGUGUUAUAAGGUGUGUGAGUGCCCAAGUACAGGUGUGUUAAGGUGUUCCAAUUGUGAGAUUGAAAUGGAAAUUUGAAACGACAGUAGAGCCCCAUUUAGUGCAAGAAUUAGGUGGAUGAAUGCGGUCGCGCUAACUGAAUUUGCGCUAAUUGAAUAAAGUAACCAAUAUGAAAAAAGUUAUUUGGUGCACACAUGUGUCUGACUUUUGGGUUUGAUAAUUACUCAAAAUACGCAGUCAUCAGUUAUGGAGCCGUGAUGGUGACUCUUGCGGCUCAAGGUGUCGGCGGCGGCAGCAAGUGGGUGUGACAAGAGUUCAGCCCCAGCAAAGGUUCGGCGGGCAGGGUGUGGGCGUGUGUGGGCGUCGUGCCCAGCCAGGCCGACAUCACACUCGUUAUUAUCGAGUGUGUUACGGUGACGGUGGCCACUCAGUCAAUAGUGACGCCUUGCCUCAUCCGCCCCGCGGGGCCAACACGGCGAAGCUCACGCCCGUGGUGACGCCCCGAGGAUGGCGGCGGAGGCGGUGCCGGGACAGUGACAGUGGCUGCUGCGGCGCCACACGGGCGGCGAGCUGUGCACCGCCCCCAGCAGGAGGCGGGCCAGGGGGGGCAGGACGACGUUAGAGAGCAUGAGAGACUGGGACCGUGUGGGAAGUGGUGGCGGGGGCUGUGUUGUGGUGUGGGGCAGGCCACCCAGGCCACCGCGCAUCAUGGUGGCUUGGCGCAAUUUUCUAAAUUCAGUCGUGGUGGCUGCUCGCGCUAACUGAGGCUUUCGCGCUAAUUAGUUUUUUUCUUGGUAGAUGGUGGCUCGCGCUAACUGAUCUCGCGCUAAGUGGGGCUCUACUGUACCUCCAAACUUCACAGGCUGAUAGAACUAAUAAAUCUUCUUGAAACCUGAACCACCAACUUAACCCGGUAGCAGCGACAGGCCAAAUUUGUGGCUUUACCGUAUAGCAGCGACGGGCCAAAUUUGUGCCAUGAUUUAAACCCCCAAAAAUUGAUGAUACAUAAACUGAUCACAAAUGUUUUGAUAUAUAUUAUGAAACUGUUUGUGUGAGUGAUGAUUUUUUCUCAUUUUUCUCGCUUAGAGGAGCCUUUUAGAAACAUGAUCCCCACUGCUACUGGGUUAAUGGGCAAAUAAGACUACUAAAUCCUUGAACCUGAACCACUAAACUUUUAUGGGCAGUGAAAACAAUAAAUUCCCUUGACACUGCACUAUGUAAUCAAACUUCACGAACGAAUCACCAGCUUGAGGUGUGACCCAUGUUUCUGGAACCCACGACAAACAAGUUCCCAGUGAGUUGAUGACGUGACAAGUUCUCGAUAACACUCAGACUGCACGAGGAACAGAUGAAUGAAAAUUUUGGAUGAAUAGGUAUUUGUGAGGUCAAACGAAGGCUUGCUGGCAGGCGUAAAACGAUGGGUGACUCUCUCUCUCUUGCCAUCAUCUCAACUAACAGGACACACACACACACACACAUACACACGAAACUGCUUAUCACUGAGUUGCGUUAGUUUCGACAUGCCUUCCUGCCUGCUUGUGUGUGUGUCUAGGAGUGAGAGAGAGGCACACAAGGGAGGGAGUCAACUUAAUGAAAUGGAAGGUAAUGCUCACUAGACUCUGGGUCCUCCGAGACUUGGGGAACUGAGGCACAAAUAACGUUAGCAAAAAUUGACAUGCAAGAUGAGAAAUAUACGAUGCUGUGUGUGUGUCUAGGAGAGAGAGAGGCACACAAGGGAGGGAGUCAACUUAACGAGAUGGAACGUAAUGCUCACUAGACUCUUGGUCCUCCGAAACUUGGGGAACUGAGGCACAAAAAACGUAGGCGGAAAUUGACGUGCAAGAUGAGAGGUGUGUAUGUGUGUGUGUGUGUGUGGGUGUGUUUUGAUUACUAUAUGUGGACAGAUGGUUCAAGAGGCAACUUGUGCACUGAAUCCGGAAAUAAUUCUCCCUAACACUAAAGGUUAUACUAAUUGAAAUAAAGUGCGUGAUAAAAAAAGUAAAUUAUGAACACCAAAACUUCAAUCCUACAUAAAUUAAGUGGACAGAAAAUGCAAUAAGUAACAAGUGAGAUGAGAUGAAAAAUUAAAACUAGACAAUCUUUUCAUAAUUUAGGACAGGUAAUAUAAAUUGUAAGAAGAAGAAAUUAGAUGAAAACCUAACACAAUAUUAUUUCUAGGUUAUUUGGGACAAAAUACAAUGAAUAAAAAGACGAGAUGAGAUGAAAAACUAAAACUAGACAAUCUUUUCAUAAUUUAGGACAGGUAAUAUAAACUGUACGAAGAAAUGAGACGAAAACUUAACACUAUAUUAUCACAAAAUGAGAUGAAAAAACAAAACUAUAUCAUCUUGUAGUUACUUGGGGCAGAACAUGUAAAUCGUAAAAACAAGAGAUGAUUUGAAGAACGAAAAUUAUAUUAUCUCUUGGUUAUUCGCGACGGAAAAUACAAUGAAUAAAAAGAAGAUGAAAAACUAAAACUAUAUCAUUUCGUAGUUACUUGGGGCAGAACAUAUAAAUCGUAAAAAGAAGAGAUGAUUUGAAGAAGAGAUGAUUUGGAGAACUAAAAUUAUAUUAUCUCUUGGUUAUUCGCGACGGAAAAUACAAUGAAUAAAAAGAAGAUGAAAAACUAAAACUAUAUCAUUUUGUAGUUAUUUGGGGCAGAACAUAUAAAUCGUAAAAAGAAGAGAUGAUUUGAAGAAAUGAUUUGGAGUACUAAAAUUAUAUUAUCUCGGUUAUUCGCGACAGAAAAUACAAUGAAUAAAAAGAAGAUGAAAAACUAAAACUAUAUCAUCUCGUAAUUACUUGGUGCAGAACAUAUAAAUCGUAAAAACAAGAGAUGAUUUGAAGAACGAAAAUUAUAUUAUCUCUUGGUUAUUCGCGACAGAAAAUACAAUGAAUAAAAAGAUAAAGAAAAACUAAAACUAUAUCAUCUCGUAGUUAUUUGGGACAAAAUAUAAAUCAUAAAAAGGAGCGAUGAUAUGAAGGACUAAAAUUAUAUUAUCUUUUGGUUAUUCGCGACAGAAAACACAAUGAAAAAGAAAAAAAAGAAAUGAGGUGAAAAAAUAAAACUACAUCAUCUCGUAGUUAUUUGGAACAGAAAAUAUAAAUCGUAAGAAGAGAUGAUAUGAAGAACUCAAACUAUAUCAUCUCUUGGUUAUUCGUGACGGAAAAUACAAAUGCUAAAAAGAAGAGAUGAAAACUAUAGUCAAAGCAUUCAGAUAGUCCAUCGAGGCAUUGGAUUCUGCGGGUCCUUUCCUCCUAACACCUGUCCCUUCCUCUCAUCUGUUACCUAUAGGAAACAUAUGAGAGGAAAAAAUAGGUGUUGUGGCUGUGUGGCAGAGCAGAGGGGAGGAAUAGACCCACAAAGUCAGUGCCUCAGCGGACUAUUUGAAAUGGUGUGACUUUAACACCAUAAUUAUCUUUUUGUUAUUUGGGACAGAAAACGAUGAAAUAAAAGGAAGCAAAACGAGAUAAAAAAAACUAAUCCUGCAUAUCAUUUGGUUAUCUGAACUGGAGAGGAAAAAAUAAUUAUAUAACAGAAAACGAUGAAAUAAAAGGAAGCAAAACGAGAUAAAAAAAACUAAACCUGCAUAUCAUUUGGUUAUUUGAACUGGAGAGGAAAAAAUAAUUAUGACAGAAAACAAAAUAAAACGAAGCGAAAUAAGACGAGAAACUAGACCUACAUGUAUUAUCUUUUGCUUACUUGAACUGGAGAGGAAAUAAAAGAUAGAAAAUGGAAAAAUGAAGAAAACGCAGCAAAAUGAGAUAAAAAAAACUAUGCUGUACCUACAUUAUCAUUUUCGUUAUUUGAAGUCAAGAGAAAAAAAAUCAUCACAGAAAACCUAAUUCCAAAUAAAACGCAGCAAAAUGAGAUAAAAAAAAUCUAAACCUAUAUUAUUUUUGUCGUUUGAACUUGAGAAAAAAAAAACAUGACAAAAAACGCAAUUCCAAAUAAAACGCAGCAAAACAAGAAAAAAAAACCUAAACCUACAUCAUCAUUUGGUUAUUUGAACUGGAGAAAAAAAUUAUUACGACAGAAAAAACAAAACAAAGAAUAAAACAAAGCGAAAUAAGACGAGAGACUAGACCUAUAUGUAUUAUCUUUUGCUAACUUGAACUGGAGGAAAAAAAGAUAGAAAACAGAAAAACAAAUAAAAUGCGGCAAAAUGAGAUAUAAAAAACCCUAAACCUAUAUUAUCUUUUUGUCAUGAACUGGGGAAAAAAAAAUCAUGAUAGAAAACAAAAAACAAAUAAAACGCGACAAAAUGAGAUAAAAAAACCUAAACCCAUAUUAUUUUUUCGUCAUUUGAACUCGAAAAAAAAAAAAAUCAUGAUAGAAAACAAAAAACAAAUAAAACGUGACAAAAUGAGAUAAAAAAACCUAAACCCACAUUAUUUUUUCGUCAUUUGAACUCGAAAAAAAAAAUCAUGAUAGAAAACGUAAUUCCAAAUAAAACACAGCAAGACAAGAUAAACAAAAAAAAUAAAAAAAUAAACCUACUUAUUUGGUUAUUUGAACUGAAAAAAAAAAUCAUGACGGAAAACCUAAUUCCAAACAAAACAAAAACGAGAUAAAAAAAUUCUUAGGCCUAAACCUACAGAAAACGUAAUUCCAAACAGUAAACCGCAGCAAAACGAGAUAAAAUAAACCCUAAACCUGUCAUCAUUUAGUUAUUUGAACUCGAGAAAAAAAAAAUGUAACACUUCUGAACACAUCAUAAACCUAACACACAAAAUAUACAUUAGAACACAAAAAUACAUUGACCAAAAGGACACAAAUAUAUACAUCCGCAAAUCUCUAUAUACACUGGGCCUUUAGAGAGGACAGGGAGAGUAUGUAUAAGGGAACAUGGCUACACUUAGUACUAACGCCCAACCUGAUAUCUGGCUUGGCUGGGUGACUUGAUCCUGACUCAAGCUGUGGCAAGUUGGGGUUUUACUCUUGAUCAAGCUGUGGCAAGUUGGGUUUUAUUCUUGAUCAAGCUGUGGCAAGUUGGGGUUUUACUCUUGAUCAAGCUGUGGCAAGUUGAGUUUGGCUUUAUUCUUGAUCAAGCUGAGGCAAGUUAGGGUUGGUAAAGUGAUCUGAGGCUGUCAUUUCGGAGGCAAAUUUUAAUUCCUUUGAAACUAAACCACGAAGCUUCCUGAUUCCUUUAAAACUGAACCCCGAAACUUCCAAAUUCAUCUGAAACCCUCCUCUUUAAAUAUUCACACUGCCAGAAACAAAACAAGAGGAAAAACAGCAAUUUGAUCCACUUUUUUAAACCCACUUAUAAAAUCUUACCACUUAAACCACUUACAGCCACUUGCUAAACCCCAACUUGACCUCUUAGCACUUAAACCUCAUCCUCUUCAGAUAUCCACACUGCCAGAAACAAGAGAGCUGCACUUCCAUCCACUUUUUAAACCACUUGCUAAACUCAAACUUGACCUCUUAGCACUUAACCCCAUCCUCUUCAGAUAUCCUCACUGCCAGAAACAAGAGAACAGCACUUCCAUCCACUUUUUAAACCCAGACUCUUCAAUAUUACCACUUAACCACUCUCACUGCCAUUAAGACAAAGCAUAAACACACCACUGCCUUCACUAACCUACCACUCCUUUACCAACCCAUUAUUUCCUUUACUUUUCUUUACUUUCAUCCACUUAUUAAACCCAGACUCUUCAAUCUUACC